UCUCCGUUGGUGAACCAGCGGAGGGAUCAUUACAGAGCUGCAAAACUCCCAGACCAUUGUGAACGUUACCUAUCCCAUUGCUUCGGCGGGCGGCCCGGGCCCCGCGCCCGGCGCCCCCCGGCCCCCCGUGGGCGCCCGCCGGAGGUAAACCAAACCCUUGAAUUGCAUGGCCUCUCUGAGUCUUCUGUACUGAAUAAGUCAAAACUUUCAACAACGGAUCUCUUGGUUCUG
rnacentral:misc_RNA from 1 species